UUCCAUCGAGAAAUCCUCCUAGGGUCGUUUGCGCGCAAUCUUCCAUCGAGCGUCAUCUUCAAAUAGGUGUACAAAAAUUACACCUCAAACAGAGUACAUUCUGCUGAUCUGGUUUUGGGUGUUGCAAAUCUUCAUACUCCAGAAGCUGUGGCAGGUGCUGAAGCUACACUGGCUGGUUCUCACCCUAGAGGUUGGUGUAGGUGACACUUCAGGGGGAGUUAACCAGAUAUGUUUUUAUUUUUCUUUCUGGUAGCAUUUGGGUGUCUAAUUACCUGCUUGCC